GAAUGUGCAUUGCUGUGGGCAAGGAGUAUGACACUGCAAAAGGGAUUAGACACAUCUUUUGAAAGGGUUUUGGGAGAGAAAGUCCCAUUGAUGUUACCUUAAAUUCUGGGGAAAUGUCUUCAGCAAGUUUCCAGUGUGAUGCGCAUAGAAGAGCUUUCCUCAGUCUGUUGGAAAGGGCAGGGAAAGUGAAGUGACCCACUGGGCCAGGUCAGCAUUGACCUAGCUAGAAACUUGGCCAGUGGACUGAACUGAAGUGCCUGGAGGACUUAAGUGCCAGGACAUGAAUGUUUCUUGCAAGAGAGAGAAGUACUACACAUCUGGGGAGAAAGUCAAUCUGGAGCCAUCUUGGGUCCUGCGAGAGCAAGGGCAUGCCAACAGAGAAUCUGCGUGCAGUGAACCACCCGGAAACCAGGUGCCAAGCAGGCUGCGGAGCCCUGGGGAAUGUCCAGAUUAAAGAUACAUCAUCUUUCGUGGUGCUGACAAGUCAAAUGACACUAAGAGCAAAAGUGAAGAAGGUAAUUUUUGAGGAUGGCAGCUUCUUGUUUCAUUAUCUGGGAGAUCACCCAGCUCCCCAUACUUCACCCUGUCUAUGCAAAAGAGGCAAAGGACCAAAAAUCAAGUUGGCUUCAGGAAGUUUUUCAAAGAAGCAAAUCCACGAUCAGCAGCCAUGCAGCACGUUAUCACUGGGAAGAGAUGGCCCUUCAUGGGUAGGACAUUUUCAUGGGUAACCCUCACUCCACCCCUACCACAGACCCCAGCUCACAUAAUGACAAUCCCUAGUCAGUGCGGGAAGGCUGUGGUAUGUCCGGCAAAUUUGGUUCCAGACAACAAAAACCUAUAAAGCUCAUUUUGGACAACAGAUGAUUCUGAAGGCCUUUUCAGAGUUUACUUAUUCUAUAAUCUGUGUAACAGUUUAAUAUGCCAAAUCUUUUAACUCUUAUUCAUAUAGAAAGCUAAGCCAUCCCAAGAAGCACAUUUCAAAAGCUGUCAACCAAAAUACCGAAAGCCUCUGGUAUCUAAAAUAGCCAUCCAACAACGUAUUUAUUCUUUUCACCAGGGAUCAACCAAUUUUUCCUGUAAAGGGCCAGGUAGUAAAUACUUUAGGCUUUGUGAGCCUGUUGCAACUACUCAACUCUGUACUUUUUUUUUUUUUUUUCAACUCUGUACUUUUGUUUUGAAAGUAGUCACAGGCGAUUUAUAAAUGAAUGAGCAGGGCCUUGUUCCGGUAAACCUUCACUUAUGGAUAAUGAGAUUUGAAUUUCAUAUAAUUUUCACAUGUCGCUAAAUGUUAUUCUUCUUGUGUUUCUUUCCAAUUAUUUAAAAGUGUAAAACCCUUCUUAGCUCCAAGGCCAUACAACAAUAGGGGACUAACCAUAGUUCGUCAAUCCCUGCUCUACCCACACAAGGGACUCACUUGCUUUAUGGGCCAUUAUACAGUCCUUCGGCAGGAUCAACUUGACCCAUAGAAGUAAAACAAAAUUCAGUGAAGCAUCAUACAAACAUCAUACAAACAAGUUGCCCAAAGAGCCCUCUGAAUUUUGAACCGACAGGGCCUUUUAUACAAAUGCUCUGAGAUAGUGACUUUAACAGAAAUGAUGUAAAGGAAUCCCAGAUUCCUAAAUAAAAUCCUUCUUGCAUUUAAUGGUUAAAAAAAA
rnacentral:lncRNA from 1 species